rnacentral:tRNA from 1 species
GAUAUAGCUCAGUUGGUAGAGUGCUUGCCUUGCAUGCAUAAGGCCCUGGGUUCAAUUCUCAGCAUUGUCA